GCUAGCAUAGGAUAGUGGUUUGAGCUUUGGACUAUGAUUCUGGAGGCCAGAGUUCAAAUCCCUGCUUGAGUA